rnacentral:rRNA from 1 species
UACGGAAGGCAGCGGUGGGGAAUAUUGCACAAUGGGCGCAAGCCUGAUGCAGCCAUGCCGCGUGUAUGAAGAAGGCCUUCGGGUUGUAAAGUACUUUCAGUCGUGAGGAAGGUGUUAAGGUUAAUAACCUUAGCAAUUGACGUUAGCGACAGAAGAAGCACCGGCUAACUCCGUGCCAGCAGCCGCGGUAAUACGGAGGGUGCGAGCGUUAAUCGGAAUUACUGGGCGUAAAGGGCACGCAGGCGGUUAAUUAAGUUGGAUGUGAAAUCCCCGGGCUUAACCUGGGAAUGGCAUUCAAGACUGGUUAGCUAGAGUCUUGUAGAGGGGGUAGAAUUCCAUGUGUAGCGGUGAAAUGCGUAGAGAUGUGGAGGAAUACCGGUGGCGAAGGCGGCCCCUGGACAAAGACUGACGCUCAUGUGCGGAAGCGUGGGGAGCAAACGAGGGAUUAGACUACC